GGCUAACGCUGGCGGCGUGUCUUAGCCAUGCAAGUCGAGCGGACUUAUGGGGUAACUUAUAAGUCAGCGGCGGACGGCGGAGUAACACGUAGCUAACCUACCCUCUGGACGGGGAUAACCUACCGAAAGGUGGGCUAAUACCCGAUGUAGUCAUCCUGUAUAGGGGUGAUGAAAGGUGGGCUUCUGUUUACAAGCUCAUGCUGGAGGAGGGGGCUGCGGCCUAUCAGGUAGUUGGUAGGGUAAUAGCCUACCAAGCCGAUGACGGGUAGCCGGCCUGAGAGGGUGACCGGCCCGAGGGGCACUGAGAUACGGGUCCCACUCCUACGGGAGGCAGCAGGCUAGAAAUUUGGGCAAUGGGGGAAACCCUGACCCAGUGACGCCGCGUGCAGGAAGGAGCCCUUCGGGGUGUAAACCGCUGUCGUGUAGGGAGAAGGGUACUAAGGUGAACAAUCUUAGUACUUGACGGUACUACAGGAGGAAGCCCAGGCUAACCUCGUG
rnacentral:rRNA from 1 species